GUUAAAUCAGUGUCACCAGAACCUGAAACAAAAAAACAUGAUUCUUGAAAAUAAAGAGUGUGUAAUCUGGUGUUCUUGAAAAAUUUACCUUCAAAUAUUUAGAUAUUUAAAAUUCAGGUAUUGAAAUUUCAGAUAAGGACUGUUUUAAAAAAUUCAGGUACAAAAUUUUUAAGUAAAAAAAAAAUCAUGUAGCAAAAAAAUAAUUCAGGGAUUAAAAAUUCAGGUUGUAAAAAUUCAGGUUAUAAAAAUUCAGGUCGAAAAAAUUCAGGUUAUAAAAAUUCAGGUUGUAAAAAUUCAGGUAAAAAAAAUUCAGGUCGAAAAAUUUCAGGGAAACAUCCGGGGUACACAGAAUGACCAAUCAAGCGCAGAGCUAAUCGAGCUCACAGCGGCCAAUCACAACACAGCUCUGAAGCCUGUGGGAGCUGCGUCUUUUUUCACCUGUGGAGAAGCUCCGUGGCAGCUGCUUGGAGAACACAGCUCCUACAGUCAUUUGUCUGAUGUUUGCAGACUCUGGGGAAACCACUCCACAUCAUGCUUUGGAAGCUGCUUUGCCUCCUAAAUGGGUACAAACGAAGUUUAAAACAUUUUGUUGCCAAUAAAUGACAGUAUCUAUUUUA